UUUUGCCGCGGUUAUUCCGAUAACUUUGUGCACUAAAUAAAACCAGCUUCGUCUCUGUUGAAUAUUUUGGCAAACAACUUAUUUUAUGGACCGUUUGGCGAAGGUUUUCACACAACAGGACGAGCUAAUCGCUCCGGUUGGGCAUAUCAGAAUGAAUAUGAAGCCAUCAAAGCACUCCACUCUCUGCCGGGGGAAAAGAGACAGCAUUUCCAGGAGUUGACGCUCAAGCUGCUUGACGACUUGGAAUUGAACGAAAGCUUUCGCCAGCAGCUGGAGGAUCUGAAAAGGAGCUUGGAGUUGCUACAAUGCCAGUCGUCGAAUGAUAAAUCAGUCAAUGAUCAAGAGAAGACCGGUCCCAUUCAUGAAAUCGUCACAGAGUCUGGCAGCCGUGGGCGCUACAUGAUUGCCAAAGAAGACAUACUGCAAGGCAAAAUCAUAUUCAGGGAGCAGGCCACCUGCUUUGUGCCUCUUGAGCAAAGACUGAUUUGCCAGCAAUGCGCAGCCAGCCUGUUGUGCGCUCCCAUUCCCUGUCCGCAGUGUCGGCAGCGAGUUGUCUACUGCUCCAGAGAAUGUCGCGAGCGCCACAAACCCAUCCACAGAUUUGAAUGUGCCGCUUACCGUAAAGAUCUGCUCAACAUGGUAGGCGUUUCGCACUUGGCGCUGCGCAUGGUCCUGAGCUAUAUGCCGUCGAUGCUGCCAAAGCUGCAAGAAUGCCCCGACUCGUCCGAGAUGUGGGCUACUAUCACGACGCUGGCAAAAGGAGCCGACAAGGAAAAUGAGCCGACACCGUAGUAUCUGCAGAGUCUCCGCAUAAUAAGCCACCUGGACAAGGCGCCUCAGGCGGAGCUGGCUUACCACAUGCUCUGCGCCAACCUGCUGCAGCUCUAUUUAAAGGAUUACACCAACUUCUGAAGUGGUUUGAAAGAGUAACGUAUAAAAAAAGGUAUAAAUACUGGGAUCCACAAAAGGGAACAUUUGGAAAAGUACCAAGAAGGGAUAUUGGUCUCCCUAUGUUACUCAACUUUGCCGCCUCAAUUCAAGUUAAAAGGUAAACGAAGGAGAGCGGUUUUUUUUUCUGUUUUUUGAGUUGAAACUUGUAAAAUAAUUACGGCGUCAAUUCGAAAAUGGAGGAUUCUCAAGUUUAACGCUGUACUGGGGGGUCUCAGACUGUGCAGAUCUAGCCUCGAUCUCUUGGAAGAAAAACUGUUGGCGAAGACAGACGUGCUAUUUUUGUCCAGUCCAAGUAUAAAGAAAAAAAAGAGGAAUAAAAACCGGGAAAAGAUCUUAACAGCUGAAUACAGCAAAAAGAAAGAAAUAUUGUGCGUUUAUAAAGUAAAAGUGUGUUAAGUGCCAAUCUCAAUUGAUUGGCGGUUAGUACCGGCUUAAACUUCGGGCAAUGGUUUGGGUACCUGUCUGAACCCCAAUACGAAAGCUCGCAACAACAAUUUCCCCGAUAUUAGGGCCUCCGCCCGCGGCAAGGGACUUAUGCUCCUCGCCCAACUACAGCUCCGUACCAAAAAUUCCCAGCGCUAGGCCGAGCAGCACAAAGCGGGAGGCGUAAAAGAUCGGCUCAUCAGUCCCUUUUUGCGGGCGCGAGCCACUUAUGUGUCACGGACCCGCGAUAUAUUGGAGGCCGUCCAAUUCUGCGGAAAUUAUUAAAGCUAUGUAAACGCUUUCGUUUUAGGAACGUUGCCGCAGUCCAUGGAAGCGCUUUCAUCGCUGUUUCAACGCAUUUAUUAAAACAAAUCAAAGGAAGGCCUCAGGGGCUUCGUCGCUUAAGAGAGGCGCACAGCCUGUGCGCUCUCCCUUAUGCCCUGCUGGCAACCAUAAGCGCUUAUGCCGCGCAUAAGAACCAGCCCUCUUAAGAACAAGGCACAAAAAGGAAGAUGCGAGGCUGGUCGCUCUGACGUUCUUUUAUGCUUUCUACUUGCGGUUGCUUUCGCUAAUGCACUUGAAUAACUGACCUGCCAUAACGAUCGCGGCGCACAGUUUUUACAUUCCCUUUUGCAUAUUUAUUUAUUAUUAUUAUCUAUUUGCCUAACAUAAAAGCUAGAGAUAUGUACACUUCCCUUCUUUCAAUUUGUAAGUUAAAUUUCAAUCUAAAGUGUAUUAUUAAGAGUUAAUCAUUUAUUAGUUUACUAGUGCGAUGCAUGUGCUAUUGCUCAAUAUGAAAUAUAGGAUUUAACAUGAA